AGAUUUUUGCGAACUUGAAACUUGAUUUUGGAGACGUGUAUGAAGCGGAAAAGGUCAGCAGACAGGUGGACGUGAUCCUUAGAAGCUCUACCAGCCGCACUUGACAGCGCUCCAGUUGUUCCGGAGCCUCACUCCAGCGGUACUAUUUUAUGCAUAUACAUUCGGGCUUGGUAGCACCCCGGCCCUUUCUAUGUAUAAGUGUACUAUGUCUAGAGGCUCGUAGACAGAUACGUACAGUCAGUCAGGUACAGAUAUAUGUAUAGUGUUUUGGCAUGUUAAUAUUGUUGUACAAGGUAAUAA